rnacentral:rRNA from 1 species
AGAGUUUGAUCCUGGCUCAGGACGAACGCUGGCGGCGUGCCUAAUACAUGCAAGUCGAGCGGAGUUGAUGAGGUGCUUGCACCUCUGAUGCUUAGCGGCGGACGGGUGAGUAACACGUAGGUAACCUGCCUGUAAGACUGGGAUAACAUUCGGAAACGAAUGCUAAUACCAGAUACGCGAUUUUCUCGCAUGGGAGAAUCGGGAAAGACGGAGCAAUCUGUCACUUACAGAUGGACCUGCGGCGCAUUAGCUAGUUGGUGGGGUAACGGCUCACCGAGGCGACGAUGCGUAGCCGACCUGAGAGGGUGAUCGGCCACACUGGGACUGAGACACGGCCCAGACUCCUACGGGAGGCAGCAGUAGGGAAUCUUCCGCAAUGGACGAAAGUCUGACGGAGCAACGCCGCGUGAGUGAUGAAGGCUUUCGGGUCGUAAAGCUCUGUUGCCAGGGAAGAACACUUGGGAGAGUAACUGCUCUCAAGGUGACGGUACCUGAGAAGAAAGCGCCGGCUAACUACGUGCCAGCAGCCGCGGUAAUACGUAGGGGGGCAAGCGUUAUCCGGAAUAAUUGGGCGUAAAGCGCGCGCAGGGUGGCUUUGUAAGGUCUGUCGUUUAAGGUGCGGGGGCUCAACCCCGUA